rnacentral:rRNA from 1 species
UACGGAGGAUCCAAGCGUUAUCCGGAAUCAUUGGGUUUAAAGGGUCCGUAGGCGGUUUAAUAAGUCAGUGGUGAAAGCCCAUCGCUCAACGGUGGAACGGCCAUUGAUACUGUUAAACUUGAAUUAUUAGGAAGUAACUAGAAUAUGUAGUGUAGCGGUGAAAUGCUUAGAGAUUACAUGGAAUACCAAUUGCGAAGGCAGGUUACUACUAAUGGAUUGACGCUGAUGGACGAAAGCGUGGGUAGCGAA